rnacentral:miRNA from 1 species
GAGGAUCGCUUGAGCCCAGGAGGUUGAGGUUGCAGUGAACUGGGACUGCACCACUGCACUCCAGCCUGAGUGACAGAGCAAGACCCUGUCUC